GACAGAGGAUGCAAGCGUUAUCCGGAAUGAUUGGGCGUAAAGCGUCUGUAGGUGGCUUUUCAAGUCCGCCGUCAAAUCCCAGGGCUCAACCCUGGACAGGCGGUGGAAACUACCAAGCUGGAGUACGGUAGGGGCAGGAGGAAUUUCCGGGUGGAGCGGUGAAAUGCAUUGAGAUCGGAAAGAACGAACCAACGGCGAAAGCACUCUAGCGGGCCGCG
rnacentral:rRNA from 1 species